GGUGCUGCAGCUGGUGUUGUGAAUCAGGCCGCCAUAUUUACCGACCGGCUACUUCACAACACCAGGGUUGCACCU
rnacentral:pre_miRNA from 13 species